rnacentral:lncRNA from 1 species
UUUGUUAUUGUAUAUGUCAAUAUUUUUGUUUUGUCAAAGUGUACAAAGCAGCUUGACUUUGAGUAAAGCUAAUACGCGGAUCAAAUAAAAUAAAAACGGAGGGAGUACUACAAAUGACUGGGACAGCAAGCAUCUUCUGCUUCCAAAGACAUGGCUGUUGACAAUAUUUAUGUUCAGCCUCAUUCAUUGGUUGUUGACAAUAUUUCUGAUUCCCAGUAAAAAAAAAGAGAAUGAAACAAACAAAAGACAGACUGCGAGGCCACACUAGUGCUUCCAAUACCGCAAGUACUACACAUGCAAGAUUGUAGCAAACACUCAGCCAAUUACAACAAUUAAAUUGGGAUUUCCCCCUCUCUACUUUUCCUCGACAACCCAACCUAGAUAGAUCUCCUCAUCACACCGUGUAGAUCCCAUAUGCUUUCCCCUCCUCCUGUAAUCAUAGCCAAAGUACCAAGUCAGGUUUCUCUAGCAGCACAAGAAAAGACAAAGAAAAAGGCUACCAAAACAAGGGACAACAAGCCUACUUCAUUCGAAUUCGACAACAAGCAACAUUAUCUCAACGUCAAUGGGAAUACAACAGGUACAGCCGUGCAAACAGAAGAUGUUACCCGAGCCCCUCUCGGUGGUUAACCAGGAUGUUAAUCUACAAGCAGUAGAACGAUCCCCAGAAAUAAAUCAUCACAGAAGGAACUUUGGUUGCUACUUGAAGCACACUCAGUUACUCGACCUUGUUUUGCCUGGUUACUCAGCUGUUACUUGACCCUCUUUAACUCUUCACUGUGAACAGUAGCAGUUAGUGUCUCCAAACUAUGCUAGAGCAGUGAAGCGAAAACUUGUCUCCAAACUAUCAAUGCCAAGUAGGCACUGCAGUUCUCUUAAGAAAUUAAAUUCUACAUAUUCCGGCAAGGUGACAAACGCUCUUCCAUUUCAGAAGAAGAAUGAGAAACUCUAGUUGCUACCUACAGUUUCAGGGAAUGGCAGAGCUGGAACGGAACCUCGGAAACAAGCAAAGGCAAAGCAUAACAUGGCAUAGCAUGCAUACAAGCUAUUUAUUUCCCAAGGAGCCACCGAUCAACAUAUGUUGAUUGACUUGGCAAACAUUAUACUUGCCCUCCAAAAAACGUCGACGCACAUGCAUGCUCACAGCAUCUAAGUUUGCUCAUCCUACUUAGAAUCACCUACGCAUAGGAAAAUAGAACAAUGUAACUGGCAGCACAAAUAGCUACUAUGGUCAGAAAACUCAAGCAAGACGACCUUCUACCAGGGGAGCUGCUCGAUGGCCGUGGGCACACAGACCAUGAGAGAAAAACAAGGGAGAGCAACCGAAGUGGCUUACCUAUGCCGUACUGGAAGAAGAAGCGUCCAAGUGAGGCGCCACUCAAGAGUGAGCGGCGACACAAGAAGAGUUGCUUCGAUGACAAAACUCGACUCGUGUUGGAUGCUGUGGUCGCCAAAGGCACAACCAUGGCG